AGGCCUCCUCAUAAAGGAAUGUGUGCAGGUAGACGUCAAAAGAGGAGCCUGAGAGACACACAGCAAUUUCCCUCUUAAUUCAGGAUGGCUCCUAAGAUGAGGGCUGGCUCUUAAAGGCACAAGAGGAGAAU
ensembl:scaRNA Gm26347 predicted gene, 26347